UUAUGUAGUGCAUGUAUCUGAGGAGACUGAGAUCUUGAGCGCUCUCCCAAGUCCUGAUGUCCCUGCGUUAUCCAGGUUUGGAGAAUUGAAGCACCUCCCAGAUUCUCCCCCUCUCCCGUGUUUAGUCUGCAAGAAGAGCAGAGCAGGCAGAUUCCAUAGAAACCUACACACUUGAGCUUAGGAAGGACUAAACCAAGGUUAAUAUUUCCUCUGAAAAACAUUCUCUUUCUGCAGGAGCAGGCUACAAAUUUGUAAAAAUGAACCAGGCUUGUCUAGUUCAAACUGUACAAGUUCAGAAUGUCAUUUAGAGGCUGUUAGGAUUCACUUUCAAUUUAAACAUUUCUUUCUACUACAGGGAGCUUUGUACUACAGGGAAACUGGGUCAGAACCAGCACCGUAACUUUUUGCUUCAGCUUUGUCACUCCUCUGCUUCGGACAAAGCCUAAACCACUAGAGGUCAGGGGAGGAACAGGCAGGGAGACCCCCUGAAAAAUGGAGACUUCCAACAAGACCUUUACAAGACACCUGAUUGCUCUGUGCCACAGACCCCCCAUCUGUCACCCAGACUUCUGCUGCACGUUGUGUUUUCUUCAUUGACAUCAAGCACUGUAGGGCAGUGAUUGUCUUCUCCCAGAGGGGGAAGAAGAACAGGGCCCCACCAGCCCCUGGGGCUGACUGAAAUGCAGGACACUCACCUCUUCUCUUAUCUCUGAGCAUUUUCUUCACCAAGAAAAACUUGGUUAACCUGGCUUAGCAAAGGAGGUCCAGCUACAGGAUGGAGGCUCUCUGACAGAUGACGGGUAUUCACCAGGUGCCCUCUUCAAUGUGUUUUUGCUUUUCAUCUGCAGCGUGUGGGUUAUAGGCAGAGAAGUCAGGCUGUGCUUGCCAUAUUAGCUCCCAUCAGCAGAAGCUAAGGGGCUGGGGAUGUGACCCUCAGCACCACAGCUGUGGCUGAGCCCAGGGUGGCAAGUGGCCGUCUGCCAGGAGAGGGAGCUGCCUGCCCUCUGAUGGAGCACACAGGGCGGUGUGGGUGUAGGGGAAAGGGCAGUUCCUCACCUGUGCCUGCUUCUUGCAAAGCUGGAGGGAAGCAGAGUAAGGACAGUUCUUGCCUUGGCCUUUUUCAGGGCUGAGAUGUGUUAAUCCUUGCAUAGGAGUCUCACCGCUGUCCUCAGAGCACAGAAGGAGGCUGCGAUGCAGAUGGUUGGUGUUCUGCUUGCCUGCUUGGGAUGGCCACAGCAGAAUCAGGGGGUGCAGGGUGACUGCAGGGUGGUAGCUCUGGGAGCCCUGUGCAUGUGUGCAGGGGAUGCCAGCACACACCAGGGAAUGUGCUGAAAUCCCUGUGGCUGAGGUGAAACAGCAGGCUUCAGCCUAUGAAUAUUUUUAAGUUCUUUUGAGUAUUUCUCCACUAUUUGUUCUGUCACUUUCUGUCAGAAAUCUGAACUAGCCCAGGAAACACGUCCUGCGUUCCAGGUACGAUGCAGCACACAGUGGGGUUACACCUAGGGAAGCAUUCCCCACGAAGGUUUGCCCUGUGCCUGCUGCUGACCUCCCAGGCUGAGCAAGCUGGUGUCUGGCUCAUGCACGGGGCACGUGCUGCUGGCUAGGGGCUGUGAAACGAGGGGUGAGGAAGUAUCAGAAGGAAUUUGAGGGUGAGUCACGUACCAAGGGCUUGGGAUUUGUAAUGCAUCUGGUUGCUCGCAGUGUUGUUGCAAGAAACAGAGUAUUUCCUUGUCCUGGCAAGGUUGUUUGAUUACUGUACUCACAGCCGUCUGCCCCCCACCCUGCCCCACCCCACUACGGUAAUAGGAUUGCCACCUGUCCCCUGGGGGUGGAGAAAAAUAGUUCACAUUUUUCCUCCUCAUUGCUCCUUUGCUGUGACUCUCAGCCCUGGUCUCUCACAGCUGGUGGCAUCAGGAGGCCCCUUCCUAAACGCCUGGGGGAGCCUUGGUGAUUAGGGUCUCCUGGGCUGCUGCGUAAGGGAAGGGCUCUGGCUGCCCGUGGCAGGCACGCUUUUCCAUGCUGAGUGAAGUGAUUGCUGCUCAAGGAGUAUUAGGCAUGUGUGAAUGAUUACACCCACAGCUUCUCGGUUAGUGCUGCUCAUUCUCCAUCUGCUCCGAGGAAGAUCGAGGAAAGCCGCCAGGAAAAUGCAGUAGUAAAUAACGUUUCUAUUGCACCUGCCAUCAGAGAGUGGCGAAGUGUUCCGUGAGUUAUGCUGGAGUCCUGCUGCCCCUGGGAAAUGGGAGCACGUUCUGGUGUGGUCUGGUAGUGUGCAAACUGGGAGAUGCGGAGAGCUGGCAUCCCCGGGCACCAGGAACUGGUGGGGUCGAUGUCCGUAUUUCCAUUUUCAGGCUUGCAAUAAGAACUCCCAGUUGAGGAUGGAGCACAGCAAGUUAGACGCCUCGACACGGCGAUUUCAGGAAACUGGAAGUGCUACCAGAUUGCUCAGUGAGUUUUUAGACGUGUAAAUAUCGGUGUUCGUGGGCUUGCUGUACCACAAGCACCCACUGGGCGGGAUGUUGCACCUCGCUUCGCACCGCACGCUGACAGCAAUCCUUCCCUGCGACCUCGCAGCAGCUGGUACCGCGAACGUCCCGAGAGGUUACUGCUUCACCCACAACUUAGCAAGAGAUUUCUGCGGUUUCCUGCAUAUUACACCUUGUACUCAAACAGCUUAACUAAAAAGAGCAUCCUGCAGAGUAGGCUGUGUCAGCGUAGUGCCUCGAGAAGCACGCUGUGCUAAAGGUAAAGGAUGCAGCCCCUGUCCCUCACAGAGGUACUUCUUUUCUAAAGAAAUGGGAGGAAAAAAAGGUAAAGAUAUUGGUGUGAAGGCCUUGACUAAAGGUGUUGCAGCCCAAGGGUAUGUUAGGAGUGUGGGCUGAUGCUCCCUGUUGGAAGCCCCUUAGGUUUUGUGCGUUAUAAAAGCUCACAGCGCAGCAGGAUGGCUGCUUCAGAGGGAAUUCUCUCUGCCUCUGGAUAUGAGCAGGGGCAGGCUGUGAGUAGCUUAGCUGGAGGCUAAUGUAUCUGGGGGCUAGUUUGAACUAGGGGCCCCGUGCUCUCCAGCCAGUCAGCAGAAGCACGCUGCAGCUGGCUGUUCAGCUGGAUUCCUUGGCACUGGAGUUUGCAGUGCAAAUGUGCUCACUGGGAUCCUUGAUGUUACUGCUCACAGCACCGACAUGCAGCCAGUUGUGGGGAUGGAGUGCAGUGCAGGGCCAAGCAGGAUGCAGCAAGCACCAAAAGGGCCGUUCUGCACAACCCUCACUGUUCCUGUGUUUUCUGGGCUGGAGGAAGCUGUGGUAGGGAUGAGGGGCCUGACUCGCAGCACAGGCAGCUGUAUGACUUAGGAGGAAAUGCCAGCAGCAAAGAACUACAGCCACCUUUAAGCAUUUUGGUAAACCCAUCCCUGCAUCGUCACCAGCAGAACACCUGGCCUGGAGGUCUCUGUCACCACUGAAGGUCAGAAGGACAAGCCAGGUUGCUCAUGGGCUCUUUCUAAAGGCGCUUCUUUUCAUGUCUGCAAACCUAGGUGAUGAUUCUGAAAGAAGCUUUGGAUUUCAUGCGUAAGGAAGUAAAACACCACUGGGAAGGCUGCACAGCCGUUAUCACCCAUCUGGGGAACGCCUGCUAUGCUGGGUGGCAGCGACAGCUUUCCUAGUGGCUUGCUCUCUGGCUGUUCAAGCUAAUCAAAGCUCAGCAGAGACAGUAACUUGCUGCUCACCUGAAAUACGGUUUGGACUGUCACGAUGUUUUAGUAUUUGUGCUUCGCUUCAAAGAACAUUACAGAGAUUGUGUUUUUCUUGGAAAUGCUAGUGGAUGAGCUGGAGAGCGCCAGCAUCAGAAAGCUGUGCAGAUAUAACCUGUACGCACAGCCUUCUGUAGGUUUGUCUGUGCAAAGGCUUGCACCGUUUGGCUCGCCCAACUUUUGGAGGUUUCCUCUGAAGUGGUAACACUUUUUCAUCUCGUCAGAGACCUUUGUUUUACUUGGUGACCAUUGAAUGGAGGAAGAAAGGAAAUGAAGUGGCUUGUUCAGGGCCAGCAACGGGGGCUGUCAGAACUGCAUUUAUCGGGUAUAAUUCUGCCUGAUGCUGUGCCAAAACCACACCUCUCCAGGGAGCUGCUUAGAUGGAGCGGGGCAUUCUUACGGCCUGAAGUCAGCUCAGGUUUUGCAUCUUGUUGAACUAGUUUUUCUCACCCUCUCAGUGAUAACUGCGACAAGGGCAAAUCGACUCCUACCUGCGCGAUCCAAACACGCUGCCGGUUAACCCUGCCAUGUUUGUGUGGGAGGAGGAUGUUUCCAAGUGCUAAGAGGGAAAGUUACUGUUAAGAGGUCAGUUACAUAAUUAUGUUGCUUUUAGGGCACACUUCUCCGUGGGCUGGAGGUGGGGAAGGGCAGUGCUAGUCCUAUGGUGCUCAGAUGUGAAAAACAGCAUUGUGUUUCAUCGCCUAUUCCACAGGGAGUUCAGUCCACAAAAAUGAAGGAAAACCAAAUGCUAAAAAUGUUUAUCUGGAAAAGAGCUCACAAAACAUUCAUGUGGUAUUAAGGGCCAGCUACUUUGUGGUGAUAAAAGCGCUGUGGCUUGGGUAUUGUUGGAUUGUGAAGUCCUUCACAAGCUGUGGUUUCUUCACAAAGAAAGCUCUCACUGUUUUUUUUUUUUUUUUUUUUUUCAACACCAGUAUUUCUAAGGCCUUGAUUAUUUUUCAAUAAGCAAAAGCCAAGGAGUCAGGGGCAUCACUGAACAUGUUUUUUUGUAGCGGUGAAAAAUGUUUUUCAGAUAGGAUCAACGGUGAUGAGAAACUUUCACUGCUCUCUCAUCAUCCUCUAGCUACUGUUUGGCUGUGGCAUAGUCUAAAGCUGCAGACAGAGCUAAUGGCAGGCCCUGACUUAUUAAUGUUUCUAACAUAAAGUGUUGACGUUGUGAUGAGCUUUUAACUAUCUCAGUCUUCCUUGCAACGUGGAAUUUGUGUGUAAACUACAGCUCCAAAAUCCAUUUGCAUUGUCCGGAAAAAUCCAUGCAGGACGACUGCUCCCCUUUCUCCUGUGCUAAAGACAAGACAGGCUGUAAGGAACUGGAAAGGGACUGCAUGGAUAAAAAGCUCUGCCAGGUUGGUGCUAGAAGGCUUCUCUCUUUCAUUAGUCAUAUCUGCAUAAAAUCUUUGCAGGAUUAUUAAAAAGAGACAUAUUACUGGUGACUAUCAUAUGAAGACACACCUCCCAGAUAAUAGACAAGAGAGAAGAUGCUAUUAAAUGUAAGGUCAGAUUGUCCUGGAUAUUAUAUCUGACAGAUCUUUCUCAUCAAAAUGUGCCUGAAUCAACAAGAGAUGAUAUAAUUUCAAAUAUGAUUUCUGCAAGUGGUAAGGAUAAAUAAAAAAGCUGCUGAAAAACAUUAUCCUACCUUGGGUGAUCAUAAGCUGGUUCUAUAUAAAUUAAAUGAAAGGAUAAACAAAAGUAGGUUUGUGAAUCAGAUUUUCUGUUUCAGGAGGAAAACUGAUUAGGGAGCCCAACUUAGUUAAAUAUGGAGAAGGUCUGGAAUUUUUGUCAUCUAAUUUACAAAUAUUACUGGAAUUCCUCCUGAAUGCAGGACUCCUCACUCCAGCAUACUGAAAGAACUACAAUAUAGCAGCAGAGUGUUUGAACAAAUCUGCCUUUUGAGAAUAGGACCCUACAAGCAGAGAAGAGAACUAUAUUUAAGAGUUAGGAAAAAGUGAUCUGGCUAACAGGUCUUUGAUCAUCAUAAAUUGGGAAUAUUGAAAGAGUAAUUGGAAGGGAAAGGGGCAAAGGGACAAAGUCCCAUUUGGUUUUAUGAAACAGGAAUAAUGCUCAGUUUAGCUGUGCAAUUCCUUUCAUAAGAUAGGGAAGAUAACAAGAGAUAUGAAUCCCGGUAAAACAAUUCAUAUCGGAUUACCAAGGGAAUAAUUUGCAAGUGAGGAUGUGAGAAUAAGCGCGUUUUAGGCUGAAUCUUUAAAAGAUGAGACAAGCAGCAUUGAAAUGAGAUGAGAGUAUUGAGAAAUGAAAUUUCUAAUAAUCCAUGUGAUCUUAUUCAAUAUUUUGUAUUGGUUUACGUUUAUGGAGAAUUUUUAAAUCUAAUGCAACUGAAAUGGAUACAAUUCAGCAAUACAAGGUGCGGGAUUAUGAGCCUGUAAGUCAGCAAGGAUUUCUGCUAUACAGAACACUUAGGUGAAAUCAGAUGAGGAAGAAGACUAGAUAUAAGGCCAGUCAAAGGGUGGAUCCAGCCUGUCAGGCAGGAAGCAUGCAAUUGUAGAUCUAGUAAUCAGGAAAAGAUAAAGGGUUAUUAAUAUAUGGCACAAAGUAGGAAUGAAAUCUCUAGAGUUCUGCAUGGGGCUCUUAGCGCGGAAACAAGCGCAGAAAAAGGUUAUCCAUUUCCCAGUCAUCCUAAGAACCAGUUUUAUGAGUGAAGGUAAGAGCCUACCCUGUGAGGGGCAAGAUUCUGUCUAUAAAUAUAUCAUAGGAAUGAGCAAUAGGAAACUAAAUAUAUUUAACCCAAAAGAUAGCAUGAGUCAAAGAGCAAAAGGGUAUGGGAGCUAUGGGAAAGUUUUUAGAAUAUGAAGGUCUGGAAGGCUUUUCCAGUCCCACGUUUUAUGGAAAGGAUAAAAGAGAUGCAGCUGAACUAGCUACCAUCAUAAGCACCAGGUGCCAUCAGCAGAUAAUUCUAUUUUUUUUUCUAAUGGGCUGGAAACUGAACUAUUUUUAGGAGCAGUAUUAAGGUGGAGUCUGGUUAUUUCCAUCAGUGGUUACUAAAUACCGCUCACCUCUGUUUUUUGGGAUAACUGUUCCUGAGAGCUUUCCAGGCCAAUACACAUUUUGCUAAAAGAAUUUCAGACCUGCCCAUGAAUCAACAUUGAAUGUAUGUAUCCUGAAAGGAUGUGCCAAUCUCUACCUCUACAUUCUCUUCCCCUGAGUAGAAAGCACAUUUCCUGAUUCCACAGCCACGCUGUAAUUCAAUUAAAGGAACUGCUGAUGGCAAUUUGUGCAGCUUAUGAAUGGCAGGAAAAAGUGAGUUACAGUAGUAUUCAACCAGAUCCUCUACUGCAAGACGUGGUCCUCACUUGCAAAGGUUUUAUUUUUAAUGUGCUUUCCACACGUUCACCAGUAUCACUGUAA